rnacentral:rRNA from 1 species
UCGGAUUGUAGUCUGCAACCCACUACAUGAAGCUGGAAUCGCUAGUAAUCGCGGAUCAGAAUGCCGCGGUGAAUACGUUCCCGGGUCUUGUACACACCGCCCGUCACACCAUGGGAGUCGGAAAUGCCCGAAGUCUGUGACCCAACCUUAGGGAGGGAGCAGCCGAAGGCAGGUCGGAUGACUGGGGUGAAGUCGUAACAAGGUAGC